rnacentral:rRNA from 1 species
UACGGAGGAUCCGAGCGUUAUCCGGAAUUAUUGGGUUUAAAGGGUGCGUAGGCGGCCAUUUAAGUCAGCGGUGAAAUUUUGCAGCUUAACUGUAACAGUGCCGUUGAUACUGUUUGGCUAGGAUUUGGUUGUAGUGUGCGGAAUGUGUGGUGUAGCGGUGAAAUGCUUAGAUAUCACACAGAACACCGAUUGCGAAGGCAGCACACUAAGUCAUUAUUGACGCUGAGGCACGAAAGUGUGGGGACCAAACAGGAUUAGAUACCCCGGUA